rnacentral:rRNA from 1 species
GAUGAACGCUAGCUACAGGCUUAACACAUGCAAGUCGCGGGGCAGCAUGGGGGUUGCUUGCAACCCCUGAUGGCGACCGGCGCACGGGUGAGUAACGCGUAUCCAACCUGCCCUUCACCACGGGCUAACCCGGCGAAAGUCGGACUAAUACCGUAUGUUGUCCAUUGACGGCAUCCGAUUUGGACGCAAGCCUUGGCGGUGAAAGGAUGGGGAUGCGUCCGAUUAGCUUGACGGCGGGGUAACGGCCCACCGUGGCUACGAUCGGUAGGGGUUCUGAGAGGAAGGUCCCCCACACUGGAACUGAGACACGGUCCAGACUCCUACGGGAGGCAGCAGUGAGGAAUAUUGGUCAAGGGGCGUAAGCCUGAACCAGCCAAGUAGCGUGCAGGAUGACGGCCCUAUGGGUUGUAAACUGCUUUUAUGCGGGGAUAAAGUGGCCCACGGGUGGGCUUUUGCAGGUACCGCAUGAAUAAGGACCGGCUAAUUCCGUG